GCUAUUGUUUACGUUUGGUAUUAACUUUUUAACACGAUUUCGACUUUAACUAAUCCUAAAAAGGCCACGAAACCAACUAUGAUUGAAUAUUAUUAUUUAGCAAGAGAGAAAAUCGUAGAUGGGUUUUGAUAUCAGCUUGUCUUGGAGAAUUCUGCUAUUGCUGUCUUUAUGUGCUGGCCCCAUGUUUGGCUGUGACGUUGGAUGGUUUGGACCUUUUUGCCGGCGCAAGUGCCACUGUAUCAACAACCAAUGUGACGACAUGGGCACAUGUGUGAACGGUUCUCGGUGUGACGUAGGCUGGUUUGGUCCUUUGUGUCAGUACAUGAACCUUGCGAGUCUAGAAGAUGGCGUGAUCGUCACACCCUCGGUUCCAGAAUUGACAGAUUCGCAAAACG